AUAAUUGUCGUUGACGAGAGUAAACGUUAAACGUCGCUGGCGGGAGAUCAAAACGUCAGUUACAUUACUUAAAUUAACGUUGUUACACAUCUACGGUAACUUAAAAAGGUUUUCUUCGCCUCCAAUUUGAGCCGGCAUCAAUUUUCUACCCUCAUCAAGAGCGAACAAUGGGGAAUGACCUUAAGGUGGCGGCCAGGGCGCAUGCGUACGCCACCCCAGCCAAAACUGUCAUGGCCGCUCAGUCCGCGUAUCGACGCCGCGACGCUGAGCGUUUCCGAAACUCCUUCGCCAGAACCGUUUCCGAAAAAAUAAUUGACACCAUAGACUAUAUUGUGCCAGUGUUUUGGUGACAGUUUGACUAGUGCUGUGCAUUUUGAAUUUGGAAUUGCGGGUGUUUUUUGGGGGAACGACAUUAGCAGCCAACUGUACCAUCAGCUGUCAAGAUAUCGACGGAGAUGGACGGUGAUGGCAUGUAGCGCGAUGCGGUGGCCGCUGGUGCUGGCGCUGCUGGCGGCGGCGCACGCGUUGCCCACGCAGGACCCUGUGCUGUUCGAGGCCGCGUUCCAAGGUAACAUAGACCUUAGCGUGUUGUAAUAAGGACGGUGAUGGCAUGUAGCGCGAUGCGGUGGCCGCUGGUGCUGGCGCUGCUGGCGGCGGCGCACGCGUUGCCCACGCAAGACCCUGUACUAUUCGAGGCCGGGUUCCAAGGUAACAUAGACCUUAGCGUGUUGUAAUAA